UGCUGCUCACACCCUCCCCAUUGUUCUCUGCUUUCCUACAGCUAGUUCCCCACAACAGACUCUGCCACGAAUGUCCAGGCUAGCUUGCAUGGCCACCGAUGAUGGCGGAUAAACAGUUUUCCUGGAACUUUAAGCUGUUUCUCUGCCUUUAGCAUAUUGAACUAAGACCCUCCUCCUGGCUGUGAUUGGUUGUUUUUGACCGGGAGCAGCGCAUUUCUGCUGAUGGCAAUAAGAGGAAGUGGAAGAGCUUGAUCUCUUCACAGAUCUGUCUCAUGUUUUCAAAAAUAUGUAAUAGACAUAUUGUUAUAAAGGUUACAUACUGCAGCUACGUUUGAAGCAACUUUUGAUUCAAUUUUGUUUAUAAUUCUUGCCAUUCAUUCUGUUGAUACUUUUCCUUUCUUUUGAAUCAGAGACACAUCUAAACUGAACGGAAGACCCCUGCCUUAGUCUCUGAACUUUUUUUUUUUUAAUUACAAUGCAAGACUGACUUUCAACUGAAAAAUAGACUUUGAAUCAUUUAGCAGCACUGCAGUCCUAUUUCCCCAUCGCCCAGAUCAGAAGCUUCUUACUUUAAUUCUGGAACAGCUGUAGUCCAUGUCCUGGACCGACUGUCCAUGCCAUGUAAUUCCAGUAAGAAUGACAUUUACUUCACAAUUCUGUCAUGGUUACAGUAUUAUCUAUUGCUCAUGCAUCUUUUCUAUCACACUUUUACCUUCCACAAAACUUUCCACUAAGUAAGUGUACCAUCUGGAAGCCAAGUACUGGAAGCUUAUUCAGUCAUGGACCUUUGUGACUCAUCCUUCAUGUGGACUGUAUGCUUGACAACAGUAAAUGUUUCAACCCUAACUUAAGAUGGCUUACAUUUCUGAGAAAUUUGAGUUUUCCUUAGUUGUAGCUCUUAAUCAUAACAUAAUCAGAAAUAAACAUUUAAAAUAUAACACUUUGAAUAUAGUGCAUCUAACUUUUCGACUACUCCAAAUUUACAGAGAAGCUGCAUAGUGACAGUAACGUAGCUGCGUCCUCCAUGUGUGGAUGCUCUUUUUUUUUUUUUUGAAUGACCACUGUGGUCGGCAGAUGUCGCUCUUUGUGAAUACUGACUUCAGCGUCCUGUAUCCGCAGUGUAUUUGGCACACAAACUAAACCUUCAUCUUCCUUCCCUGGGUUAUUUUUUUUCCAAUAACAUUUAUCAAACAAACCUUAAACAAAGGAUUAUAUUUGAUUUUGAUUGGAGGUUUAAAGCGCUGCACAAAAGUGCAAACCUAAAACUGCGCUGAAAACAUAUAAAAAAAAGAAAGAGGAGAAACUUUAAUGUAUUUGUUGUUAUUUCUAAAACUGUUUUUUUUUUUUUUUUUUUUUUUAGUUGUGGACUUUUGUAGUGCAGCUGAAUUAGAUGUGUAGAUUAAAUGUGAGUUCGUCAACUUCAGUUUUUUUCCGUUUUUUCCGAGGCAGAGCGGCGAAUGUGACCUGAAUGCUGGUCAUGACUUAAUGGGAUGAGACGCAAAACUCAUUCAGAACAGUCUCCUGAAGACUCCGAAACGCUUUCGCAGUGUUAGUCAUCGCCAUAGUUCCAGGACUUACAUAUGCGGCUUCAUUUUUCUUCCCUCCACCCCCUGUUGUUAAUCUAUGUGAUUUUUUUCUUUUUUUUUUCUUUUCUUUUUUUUUUGGAGGGGGCGAAAUGCCUUGGCUACAGUAGGAUGCGCUUGUAAGGAGGGGGAGCCAUGGAUUUAGGAUUUGCAUUUGUUUUAUUACAGCAAGAGAUCCUCGCCGAAGAAACACCAUGGAGUGACUGACAUGCAGUAUUAAAAGGGGGGGAGAUAGACCCUUUUGGUCCUCGGUUUUUUGGAUCCCUUUUUUUUUUUUUUUUUUUUUUUCUGGAGCCCCUUGGCGAUCGGUCUUAUUUUCUCUCCGUCAGCGGCUGGUAGGGGAGGCGGAGAGAGAGCCGCGGUGGAAGGCGGCGUAUUAACGCUGUAGCUGGCGUGCAGAAAUAAUUCCUUUUAUUUUUUUAUUGUUAUUAUUUUUUAUCAUUGUUCCAUUUUGUUUUCGUGGAAUGAAACGGGUCCUUUUGUUUUGCGAUCAGGCUCCCCCAACUUGUGCUUCACUGCAGCAUUUUGCGUCUCUUCCCUCCGUUGCAGAUGAUACGGAGAACCAUAACAGCGGCACCUUCCCACUGCAAUUUUUGGGGGCACAGAUAAAGAGUGGCGUCGUCUUAUGGCAGAAUAACCAAGAAGGGAGGGGGUCCACAAUUCCUUCCUUAAAAAAACAAAACAAAGAAGAAA